CUACGGGGGGCUCCAGGCGCGAAACCUUUACAAUGCACGCAAGUGUGAUAAGGGGAUCCUAAGUGCUCAUGCAUAGCAUGGGCUUUUGCCAAGAGUAAAUAUCUUGGAGAAUAAGUGGUGGGUAAGACUGGUGCCAGCCGCCGCGGUAACACCAGCGCCACGAGUGGCAUCCACGUUUAUUGGGCCUAAAGCGUCCGUAGCCGGUUUGGUAAAUUUCGUGUGAAAUCGUCGGGCUCAACCCGACGGCGCGCUUGAAACACUGCCAGACUUGAGACCGGGAGGGGUUAGAGGUAUUCCAGGGGGAGCGGUAAAAUGUGAUAAUCCCUGGAGGAUCACCUAUGGCGAAGGCAUCUAACCAGAACGGAUCUGACGGUCAGGGACGAAGGCUAGGGGAGCGAUCCGGAUUAGAUACCCGUGUAGUC
rnacentral:rRNA from 1 species